GAUGAACGCUGGCGGCGUGCCUAAUACAUGCAAGUCGAGCGAACAGACGAGGAGCUUGCUCCUUUGACGUUAGCGGCGGACGGGUGAGUAACACGUGGGUAACCUACCUAUAAGACUGGGAUAACUUCGGGAAACCGGAGCUAAUACCGGAUAAUAUUUCGAACCGCAUGGUUCGAUAGUGAAAGAUGGCUUUGCUAUCACUUAUAGAUGGUCCUGCGCCGUAUUAGCUAGUUGGUAAGGUAACGGCUUACCAAGGCAACGAUACGUAGCCGACCUGAGAGGAUGAUCGGCCACACUGGAACUGAGACACGGUCCAGACUCCUACGGGAGGCAGCAGUAGGGAAUCUUCCGCAAUGGGCGAAAGCCUGACGGAGCAACGCCGCGUGAGUGAUGAAGGUCUUCGGAUCGUAAAACCCUGUUAUUAGGGAAGAACAAACGUGUAAGUAACUGUGCACGUCUUGACGGUACCUAAUCAGAAAGCCACGGCUAACUACGUG
rnacentral:rRNA from 1 species